rnacentral:rRNA from 1 species
UACGUAGGGGGCAAGCGUUGUCCGGAUUCAUUGGGCGUAAAGAGCUCGUAGGCGGUUCGGCAAGUCGGGUGUGAAAACUCCAGGCUCAACCUGGAGACGCCACCCGAUACUGCUGUGACUUGAGUCCGGUAGGGGACCACGGAAUUCCAGGUGUAGCGGUGAAAUGCGUAGAUAUCUGGAGGAACACCGGUGGCGAAGGCGGCAUCCUGGACCGGCAUUGACGCUGAGGCGCGAAAGCCAGGGGAGCAAACGGG